rnacentral:rRNA from 1 species
AUUGAACGCUGGCGGCAGGCCUAACACAUGCAAGUCGAACGGUAACAGGAAGCAGCUUGCUGCUUUGCUGACGAGUGGCGGACGGGUGAGUAAUGUCUGGGAAACUGCCUGAUGGAGGGGGAUAACUACUGGAAACGGUAGCUAAUACCGCAUAACGUCACAAGACCAAAGAGGGGGACCUUCGGGCCUCUUGCCAUCGGAUGUGCCCAGAUGGGAUUAGCUAGUAGGUGGGGUAACGGCUCACCUAGGCGACGAUCCCUAGCUGGUCUGAGAGGAUGACCAGCCACACUGGAACUGAGACACGGUCCAGACUCCUACGGGAGGCAGCAGUGGGGAAUAUUGCACAAUGGGCGCAAGCCUGAUGCAGCCAUGCCGCGUGUAUGAAGAAGGCCUUCGGGUUGUAAAGUACUUUCAGCGGGGAGGAAGGGAGUAAAGUUAAUACCUUUGCUCAUUGACGUUACCCGCAGAAGAAGCACCGGCUAACUCCGUG